rfam:Orgyia pseudotsugata MNPV, complete genome.
CAUUUUGAGCGCCGUAUAUUGGCCAAUAUACUACAGGCAGACAUUUGCGCCGAGCUAUACACUACGAUUUACCAAAAAUAUACUACACUGGCACGGAAAUAUACUACAGCGUCUCCCAAAUACAACUACACUUUCGUAAAACGCCCUCCAAAUAUAGUAGUAUAUGCAGAAAAUACACAUUUAAAAAACUCUACGAUUUC